rnacentral:rRNA from 1 species
GCCCUCCCUCGCCGCCAUCAGACUCCUACGGGGGGCAGCAGUGGGAAUCUUGCACAAUGGACGAAAGUCUGAUGCAGCAACGCCGCGUGGGGGAUGAAGCUUUUCGGAGUGUAAACCCCUUUCGACCCGGAAGAACUGCCCGCAAGGGUUUGACGGUACGGGUAUAAGAAGCCCCGGCUAACUACGUGCCAGCAGCCGCGGUAAUAC